ACACACACACGCCAUUCUAGAACAGAUAAGGAUGGUCGAGAAGGUCACCGAGCACAUAGCCAGCUAAUGAAUGGGAAAGUGUGAAGAACUUCAGACCGCACCAGAAUGAAAAGGCACAGCCUGAGGAUGGCAGGCAGGAAUGUCAGGUUUUAGCAGAACUCCCGACAAUCAUUGUGUUCUGUUGGUCCCCAUGCCCACCUGGUCCUGCCAAGCCUUCCCGUAUCUGCAAUGGGAAUAUCUGAACCAGAAAACUGGAAAUCAUUUCAAGGAAGUAUGUAUCAAGUGGAGGCAGAUGCCAGAGUGUCAGAACACAGCUUACGACCCUGGUGCAGAAAGACAAGCUCUCAGGUAAGCUGCAGUGACUCUCAGGAACGUCUCUCGGCUCCAGGCCUUCAGGGCCAGAACCUCUGAGAGAUGCAGACUGAAAUCAAGCCAAGACAUCAACAGCCAGCACUGACAGUGUGGGUGAGGAGAGGGGUGUGGCUGUGUCACCCCGAAAGCUGCUUAACUCCUAAGAGACUGAACUAUGACCAAGAGCCUGUAGCAAGGGUGAAGUGCAUUGCUGGAUCUCUGGAAGGUAGAGUGGAUCACGCAGGAAGAAUCAGAUCCUAGGCACUCAUGGCCAGCUGGAAUGAUGACGUUGGCCUUGUUAAUUUUAAGAAGGUAGCCUGGGUAAGUUGAGGCCAUAUGUAAAGAUAUCUGAAAAUCUAGCGAUGUUCUUGAAGUAACAUGUUCGUGUGAUCUUUCAGUAAACAGAACCACUGGCUUGGGUCCUCUCAGUGAAUAAGAAACUGUGUUGCUGGGUUAUUUAUGAUAAAUGUCAAGAUCUCAUCCAGGACCAGGAGGUAUAGAAUGGCAACAUCAUCUUUCAGUUAAAAGAUGUUUGUGGCCUCAGUAUAUCAAAACACACUUCUACUCUAGUCUUGCUCUCAUCAGCAAGAAAACCUGUGAGCCACAGUUGAGGACAGUACUCAGAAUAAUAGGUAUGAUAGUUACUUUGUGAUACGUUGACACUCAAAUACACAGAAUAAUAAGCAUGAUAGUUACUUUGUAAUACUGUGACAAAAUAGAGACAGAAACUUUAGGGUUCUUAAGUCUCAGGGGAUGGAACUCAUCACAGUGAGAAAGGCUUCCCAGAGCCACGAGGAGCCAAGAAGCAGAAACCUACAUUCCCUAACUCUGCCCCAUCUCCCAAAGAUUAUACAGCCCCAGAAUAGAGUCACCAGCUGGAGAACAAUCAUUCAAACCUCGGGACUGAGAGAGGACAUUUCAUGUUCAAACCACAGCAACUAAUACACAAAGUGUUAAAGUGAAAGUAAUCCGGCCGAGUCUUACAGAAUGCAGUGGGGUUUAACAGAUACUUUCAAUUACGUGGCAAACUUAUUUUUAUGGACUAAGACAUGGCAGGGCCCGUGUACACAACGCAUGGAGAUUCAGAAUGUAUGGAUAUUGGAUUUCAAUAGCAUGUCUCUAUGCCUAUGCAUAUGGAUUUGAGUGCAUGGGUGCCUGUGUAGGCAUGUGCAAAUAUGCAUGCUUAUAAUUCAACAGUCUCAAUUAGCAAUCCGUGAUUUAUACCCUCCUGUGUAAUCUGGGUAGGGCUCUUCAGAUGAUCCUCUAAGACCCAGCCUGCUUUUCUAUAUACACUCCUAUCAGUGCUUCCUGUAUUCCUUCGUUUAUUUGAACCUCUGGAUGGGAAAGACUGCUCUUCUACCCUGAACAUUUUCCUAUUACAGUGCUCCUAUAGAAUUCUAGGUAUUUGGGUGGGGGUAUGUGAGCAAUCUUUUCUAAUUUAAAAAAGGGACACACAUUGAACCUGACACCCAGAUUAAAAAUUCCCGAGGCUUGCUGAGGUUGACUGUCUUGUUUCUCUUGAAGCAUGCUGUGCAUGUUAAUUUCGCCCAGAGAAUGUGCCUAAGGGAAACAUUUGGCUGCGGCCAUUGUAAGAAAAAUUCAUCAGAUGACUGGACACUGCUCUUCCAGAAGAUACACGGUAGUCAUAAGAAAAUAAAAAAAAAAAUCGCAGCUAGGAGUUAUAAGUAACUUCUACGAGGUGGUACGAGACGGGUUCUAGUCAGAAGCACUUACCUUUGCAGCCCUCUAAGAGCAAAUCAUUUGACUUGUUAAGCUUGGACACUAUGCGCUUUGUCCUCAUGAGGGAUGUCAUUGAAAGCCCCUGUGUGGUGAUGUUCCCUGUAUACCAGGAAACAGGUUAAGAGUGAGCAGGACACAAGGCAGCUGAAAGAGAUGCUCUUCCCAGAAUCCUGGUGCAGAGUGUACAAUGAUUUGAGAGACUGCCAGCUGGAAAUUGUUCCAUUCCUUACCUCUUGUAGAGGAGACUGGAAUGGUGUGUUCUCAUUGUAUUCCUGGAAACAAAUUCUUAGAAACGGAGAGACACCAUUCAGCUACAGCUCCACAAACCUUUCCGAAGCAGGUGCUGGGGGGGGGGGGGGAGUUGGGAACCCUCACCCAUGUUCCCUGGGAACGCAGAGAGGCGCAGAGACUUUGAGAAAGAGUUUGGCAGUUCCUCAGAAAGCUAACCACCGAGUUACUAUGUGAUUCCAUAAUGCCACAGCUGGAGACGUGCCCGAGAAGCUGAAGACUUAAGUCUGCACAGAAACCCGCACACAAAUGUUCUCAUGCCUUUAUCCGUAUGGGCCAAUUUGGAAGUAAGCAUCCAUCAACAGAUGGCUAAGUAAACAAAAUUUGGGAUGUCUGUGCCAUAAAACACUUAUCAGAUAUUUUAUAUAAAAGAGAUGAAGCUCUGAUAUACGCUGCAGCAUGCACGAACCUUGAAAACAUUAUGCCAAGCAAAAGAAGCAGCAACAGGCCACAUAUUGUGUGAUUCGAUUUAUACUGAAGUGUCCAGAAUAGACAUCUCAGCGCAGAGAAAGUAGGUUAGUGGUUGCUAAGAGAUUGGCGGGGCAUGAGAGAGAAAUGGUGGUGACUGUUAAAGUGCUUUAUUUUGAGAAGAUGACAGAGAGUGGUCGUAGAAGCCUGUGAAUAAGCUAAGUAAGUGAUUGGGUUAUAUAGUUUAACUGUGAAAUUUAUGAUGUUGUGGAUAACAAUAUGCCAAUAAAAUUAUUGU